rnacentral:rRNA from 1 species
AUACGGAGGGUGCAAGCGUUAAUCGGAAUUACUGGGCGUAAAGCGCGCGUAGGCGGCUAUAUAAGUCGGAUGUGAAAGCCCUGGGCUCAACCUGGGAACUGCAUUCGAUACUGUAUAGCUAGAGUUUGGUAGAGGGAAGUGGAAUUCCACAUGUAGCGGUGAAAUGCGUAGAUAUGUGGAGGAACACCAGUGGCGAAGGCGACUUCCUGGACCAGAACUGACGCUGAGGUGCGAAAGCGUGGGUAGCAAACAGGAUUAGAAACCCGAGUAGUCC